AUACAAAUCCCAGUUCGGGUUAUAAUAAGAUGUUCAACGGCCCCAAGGGUAACUUUACGAUUCAGAUUUGGGAAGACGAGAACACUGGCUUGAUGAACAUCUUCUCUCAGUCUCCAAACUCUACACUGUCUAAGUAUCACACUACAUUUAGGUACGACUCUACCUGGUUCCGAGUAAGUGACGCUAAUAUCAUCUACAUCAACAGAGAGGUGUCUUCCAGUUCCAAGAUGAUGGAUAGAAUGUUGAAGAUUGAUGAAAUAUCGCAGUGCCGGUUUCCAGUACCGUGUGAUCAACAACCAGAGCUGAUUCCUGUUGACUUGCGUCUACCGUACACUCUUUCUUGUAAGGUAUCUGGAGUCGAGUAUCUCUCUUACAAGUGGUGGAAAGCAGAUACAGAACUCAUCCUGUUAGCUGCUGAAUUGGUUAUACCUGCUUGUUCGGUUGAUGAUCUCGGUCUUUACACUUGCCAGGUGUUCGGUGAGAAUUAUGGAAAGAUAGCAGAAAAUAUGUUUUCUCUCCAAUACAGCAAGAAGAUCAAUGUCCUUUCGAGAGAUCUGGAGAGGAACCCUAUUAUAUUGGUAGAAGGAUGGCCAUUGAAUGAAGUUGAACUUCUGUGCUCAACUGUGGCUGGGGAAGUCCUUCCUUUUUAUAGAGGAAAUGUAUCACAUGAUCACGUGCCGCCUAGAGUCGAGUUAACUGCUACAAAUCCGAAGAAUACUUCUGACAUUAUCUGUGAUGUGAU